rnacentral:rRNA from 1 species
GACGAACGCUGGCGGCGUGCUUAACACAUGCAAGUCGAACGGAAAGGCCCUGCUUUUGUGGGGUGCUCGAGUUGCGAACGGGUGAGUAACACGUGAGUAACCUGCCCUUGACUUUGGGAUAACUUCAGGAAACUGGGGCUAAUACCGGAUAGGAGCUCCUGCUGCAUGGUGGGGGUUGGAAAGUUUCGGCGGUUGGGGAUGGACUCGCGGCUUAUCAGCUUGUUGGUGGGGUAGUGGCUUACCAAGGCUUUGACGGGUAGCCGGCCUGAGAGGGUGACCGGCCAAAUUGGGACUGAGAUACGGCCCAGACUCCUACGGGAGGCAGCAGUGGGGAAUAUUGCACAAUGGGCGGAAGCCUGAUGCAGCAACGCAGCGUGCGGGAUGACGGCCUUCGGGUUGUAAACCGCUGUCGCCUGUGACGAAGCGUGAGUGACGGUAAUGGGUAAAGAAGCACCGGCUAACUACGUG